rnacentral:rRNA from 1 species
UCCUACGGGAGGCAGCAGUGGGGAAUAUUGCACAAUGGGCGCAAGCCUGAUGCAGCGACGCCGCGUGAGGGAUGACGGCCUUCGGGUUGUAAACCUCUUUCAGUAGGGAACAAAGCUGCACGUUGUGUGGUUGAGGGUACUUGCAGGAGAAGCGCCGGCUAACUACGUGCCAGCAGCCGCGGUAAUACGUAGGGCGCAAGCGUUAUCCGGAAUUAUUGGGCGUAAAGAGCUCGUAGGCGGUUUGUCGCGUCUGCCGUGAAAGUCCGGGGCUCAACCCCGGAUCUGCGGUGGGUACGGGCAGACUAGAGUGAUGUAGGGGAGACUGGAAUUCCUGGUGUAGCGGUGAAAUGCGCAGAUAUCAGGAGGAACACCGAUGGCGAAGGCAGGUCCCUGGGCAUUAACUGACGCUGAGGAGCGAAAGCAUGGGGAGCGAACAGGAUUAGAUACCCUGGUAGUCCAUGCCGUAAACGUUGGGCACUAGGUGUGGGGGACAUUCCACGUUUUCCGCGCCGUAGCUAACGCAUUAAGUGCCCCGCCUGGGGAGUACGGCCGCAAGGCUAAAACUCAAAUGAAUUGACGGA